AUGGAGGUGAUUGUGGGGAGCUUCAUGUACGCGGGGUCGAAGAAGAGCAGGAAGGGCAAGGCCGGGCAGGAGUCUGCUGCAGCGGAGGAAGAACAGACCGGCGAUGCCAACGGGGGCAGGGGCGCAGACAGAGUUGGAGGUGAGGCGGAGGAAGAGGGCCCUUCGCCGCUGAUGCCGAUGCCCCACGGAGAGGAGGAGCUGCCGUCGGACGCGAUGAUAAGCGGGUGGACGGGCAUGAUGCGGCAGAUGGAGUCGCGGUCCUGCGGCAUCGACAUCAACUCGAUCCGGGAGUGA
rnacentral:rRNA from 1 species